rnacentral:sRNA from 1 species
CAAAACAAAACAAAGCCAAGCUCUGUACCCAUGCCGGUGCCUCGGGUAGAUAACAACCCUUUAUGGUGGCGGGGGAUGGGGAUGGGGACAGGAGGAGGAAGUGCCUCUCUGUGGAAGAGCCUCUUUCCCCAGAGUUCUUGCCCAGAGUUGAGGGUAUGGGUGGAUGGGAGGCAGGCACAGUUCGGCCUGGCUCCCUAUGGUGGUGAACAUCUCUGGCUAUGUCUUCAAGAAAUUUUCUGGACUAGGUUAGCUGAGGUGGGAAACCCCGCCCUGAACGAACAUGGCACCCUCCCAUGGACGGGAUCUGGAACGCAUGAAAAGGGGAAAGUGGACUGCGCACCAGCGAUCGUGUCUCUCUGCUUCCUGACUGGGUGCAGUGUGACCAGCUGCCUCACCGGCUGUGACUCCUCACCAUCCCAGACUGCACCUCAGACUGUGAGCCCAAAGGCACUUGGUGACAGUGGUGAUACUGACAGAUCUAUGACAACAAACUUAAAGGACACUUCGUUCUGGCUCACAGUUUUGGAGGCCCUGGGCCAGAGCUGAUUGGCUCCAUUCCUUUUAUGGUAAAAUACAAAGGCAUUGAUCUGCUGGGCAGGAAGCAAGAGCAGAGUAGGGCCCCACCGCUCUGGAGCAGAGCUCCCUGACCUAAAGGCUUCCCAGUAGCCCCACCUCCUAAAGGCUUCAUCCCUUCCAAUAGGGAUCCUUGAGCACAAGGGUCUCUGGGGGCUCCUGCCUGGCCCUGGGGACAAGAGCUGGCAUCAGAUGAGGUCCACUCAAUAGAGCCAGGACCACUUGAGCAGGCUCCCCCUGGGCGACAGACCCAGAAGCCACCCAUCACAGGUGUGAAGUGGUCUAGCCAGGGCAAGACUGGCAAAGCAGGGUGGCUAGCCUGGGCUUACAUUUCAGCUGUGGACUGACUACACACAGCAAUGGAUGGCAUGGGUUGGGGACAGAGCUAGGAGAGGCACAGGCAGCAGCUCUGACUCCUACCUCUAACCAGGGCACAGUGAGAGCUCCUGAUUGUCUCUUCCUGGUUAAGCCCAAGGUCAGGGUGAGCGGCAGCCCAGUCCUCCCCCGUGAAGAGAGAACAGCCCUGGGCAGCGUGUGGUAGUGAGUCUCAGAUUUAACUGGGACAGCUAAUCCCCUCCGGAAAAACAAAAGCAAGGGACACUCAGUGGCUAGAUGCCUUCACCCUGGCUCCAGCCCUGGGUUGAUGUCCUUGGCAUGGCCACAGCGUGUCCUGGGGCCACUGUGAGUUGCUUCAGGACGGCCUGUCCAUAGCACCUGUACCACAUGACCUGUGUCUUUCCUUCAAGGCACACUGACCUGGCCAAAGCGAACAGGGACAAACCGCCACCCUUGUUACAAGAGUCCAUGAGGGUUUCGUGACUACUGGCUUGACCAAGAGAUGGCUGUUUUGGGCGUUCUAAGGUAACUUACUGCCUAGUUUCAUGGCAGAGGGAUGGACACUGGAACUAUUACUGUGGAAAGCAAUACAGCAAGCACUGUCAUUUUACCGUUUUGGAGCAUAGGACUCAACACUCCAGUGGUUUUACCCUUGCUGUAUUUAUGUGGGGACAGCAUUGCCGUCUUCCCAGAAUGCCUCCAAGUCCUUGGUUUUCAGUUUUUAAAUGACAUGUAUUUAAGGUACCUGUGUAUAUGCUGUGGGUGUACAUGGCAUACUAUGGGCAUGGAGGUCAGAGGAGCCCAAGGUCCUCACAGUGGAGCACUGGUCCUUAGGCUUGGCGGUGAGCACCCACCCACUGAGCCAUCCUGUCAAAGCCUUCAUUUUUCAGGCAGAACUGGGUCCAGUUGGUUUGUUUCAUGACAUUGAUAAAAACUCCCCUGGUGCUUGAGAACUGCAGGUACCCCAAGGUUUAGGUUUGGUUAGAUUUCGAAUCAAAGAAAAAAUGGGGCUGGGUAUGGUGGCACACACCUGUAAUACCAGCACUUGGGAGGCAGUGGCAGGAUAGUGAGUUUCAAGCCAGACCAGCCUUCGGAGUAUGUUCUAGGAUAGCCUGGGCUACGUGCCAAAACUCUGUCAAAGAAAAACAUGGUGUCGUUCAGGAUGAACACACGUUAGCAACCUGGCCUAGUUAGGGCAUGCCACUCCAGGGGGGUCAGGUCUCAACAGUCCAGACAGCACUUUGGGUUGGAUGUUCGUAAGCCUUGUGUGUUCUUAGGCUAUCUCUCAUCUCCACAGAAUGUGACCCUGGAGCCGAGGCGAGGAAAGGCAGGUUUGCCUUGACCGACCGCCCUUAAGUCUUUCCUCAGGUUGCAAGCUCAGCAGAAGUCUGGUGGGUCAAGCCACUUUCCAUCUUGCCUGCAAAUCAUCGGCCAGCAGGGUUCACAUGCCGGGUAAUGAACACGCGGGGAGUCUCUUGCUUUCUGUCUGAUCGGACACCCCAGCUGUGCCCUCUAAGGACAGAUCAAGGACUCAGCUAGAAUAGAGAUCGCUCUUCCCUUUGAAGAGGUUCUGUCUUUGCACCCUGCAAGGACCAUGACGACCUUCCUCCCUGACCUGUGCCCUACUGUCCUGGGCUCUGCUGCCUCUGCAGACCCCAGAAACAGGAGAGCCAGGAUGAGGUCACUCUGGCCACCUAUUGUCCUGAGUUACCUGCUCGGAGAAAUCUAUUUUACUCUUAAGCAACACAAUAACACCAGGAGCGAGGUUGUGAGACAGGGUUUUGGCAUGUAGCCCAGGCUAUCCUAGAACCCACUCUGCAGUACAUGUCUGAUGUGCUGAACUGCACAGCAGGCCUUGGAGAGGCACAGAGACUACCCACCAUCCACUCAGCAGCGUGGCCCCCCUUGCCUUUGGGCACCAGCAGCUUCUUUUCAAUCUCUGUUCUUCCUAGAGGCCUUCCCAAGAAGAAAAGGACACUCUUCUUAAACAGUUCACAUUUAUUAUUGUAACAAUAAAAAAAUCUUUUAAAGACUAUCAGUAUUGUAUUACCAAGAGUGAGGUAAUAUGUUUACAAAACAUUUACAGAAUUUGAUAUGCAAAUAAUGGUUCAGGGAGGAGUGAGUUAAGACACUAGAAACAGGAGAGCCCAGAGAGUGCAGGGAGCAGCAUGUUAGGGGAGUGCUGGGCACUGGACAAGCAGCUCUGUGAGCCACACAGUCACCUCACAGCCAGCCUCCCUCACAAGGCAGCCAGUGCCCUGUGGCCUGGGGAAGCUCAAGGCCUGUGAAUGUGUAGUUGUGUGCUUUGAGCUCUUAAAGAUGCUAUCAGCUCUGAGGGGGCUGAACAGAGACACUUCUGAAUGGACUUAAAGGGAGCAGCUCUUCAGCCUGGGGCAUGGCUGCGACUCAGAUAGGUCUACAAACAUCCCUGGGCACAUGUGGGCUGUCGAGUGAAGCGCUUUCUUGGAGGUUGUCAGCAAAAUCGCCAUCUGGGACAUGGAGAAAGGGAGAGGGAAAAGGAGAGAGAAGAGAGAAAGAGCAGGGGCAUCUUCAGGUCCUUUCGCUUGGAGCUGGGGAGCCCUGACUGAAGCAGUGUGGACGCGGCAGCCACAGCCCCGCUGUGCGUGUACAAGCAGCCCCCACACACACGAAAUGCACAGCAGUGGACCCAGAACGGCCAGCAAGCAUAGCUCAGGGUGCCAGGAGCCAGAGGGCUCACUGGCCAAGCAGGCUGCUGCCGUCUCCCCUCAUGCUUGCGACAUGCCACACCCUCUACAGAGCUCUCAAAUCACACCGCCAGUCAGCCAGCGCCUCAGAGCAGCAUCCACAUCGGAGUCCACUCCCCUCACCCCUCACACACUCACAGCCAUACUGAUUUGGCACACAUCUUUAGACAUUGUUACCACACAAACAGAUUCUGCGCCCUUUUCUGGAGAUCAGCCACCUGCAACUUCUAGACAGCUCGGUAAGAAGCAUGCUUUCCCAUAAAAGCUGUGAACUGAGGAGCUGCUCUAACAGCAGGCUUUGAGAAGUCAGGAUCAGAAAAAAAAAGAGAGACGAACCCAAGCCUCUGAUCCACUUCUCUGAAAUGCAGACAGAACAAGUGCAGCCCUACGGCCCCUCCCCAGCAGCACCCCACUCCCUCAUGCACACACACA